GGUCCAUGUAGACGUGCUCAUUGUUCUGGAUGACGCUGAGCCCAAAGAGGUGGCAGUCCUUCAGCCUCAGGAGGUCACACACCUGCACGAGGAGCUCGUGGCAUAGGAUCUUCACGUUGAUGAUGAUGUUGAGGGAGUCGUCGUUGGGGAGGAAGAUGCACACGCUGCGGCGGUCCUGCAUGACUCGGUUGUUGUGGAAGGGCAGCUUGUUCAUCGUGGGCAGCACGGCCGGGCUGGGCUGGGGGCGGUAGGCACCUCACCGGCAGGACGGGGCGGCCUUGGUCCCCAUGGGCGCCAUCCCUGCGGCUUCGGGGACCGCGCUCCGUGCCGAGCCGAGCCGUGCCGAACCGAGCCGUGCCGAGCCGAGCCGUGCCCAGCCCAACCCGCCGCCCCCGCCCCUUUCCGGGCCGCACCGCCCCGAGCGGCACCGGCACCGCCUCCAGCCCGCCUCGGCGCUGCGCCGGGAUAGGAGGGGGGCAGCGGGCAGCCCCGGGGGGGCGGACUGCCCCUGGGCCGUGGGGUGCUGUGCGGGAGGGAAUGCGGCCCCGGGGUCCUGGGGGUGAAGCUGAGCAUCGCCGGAGGGGGCAGCACGCAGCCCCAGCUGCCAGCGCUGUUUUUCGCAGUCCGUCCCGAGCCAUCCUCUUGGGAAGGGAUGCCCCGUGCCCAGGCUGUGUCCCCGUCACGCAGCCCUGCGUCUCUCCAGCACCCGUCUCAAACGCUCAGACCCUCUGUGCUGCCACUGUGCCACCGAGGGAGGUCCCAAAGAGCCACACACAGCCUUUGAGCGGGAUUUCCAUGCAGUCCAAGAGAACCACUGUGCUUCCGAGCGUACGGUGCCUGGGACUCAUAGAAUCAUGGAAUGGAUUAUAUCGGAGGGGACCUUAAAGAUCAUCUCGUUCCAACCCCCUGCUGCCGGCUGGUCGCCACCCAUCAGAUCAGGUUGCACAGUAACCCAUCCAAGCUGGUCUUGGGCACCUCCUUGGACAGAGAGCUCUAAGACACCAACCGUGCCACCAACACCCCCAGUGAGUGCUCAGGAACCAUCAGGACCAGAGCCCGAUCCUGUGGCAGCUCCCACUGAUGCCCCAGCAGCUGCACCAUGGACGCCCUAUGCACACAAAGGACACAACGUGCACCCGUGUGCUGCUCUCCAUAGGUGACCCGGGACCAGAAUAGCAGCAACAGCCCCAUAAAUUAGCAGCAAAGCAUCUCCACCGCACUCCUUCCUCCGAGGUGCCAUAUGGCGAGGUUGUUUUGGGAGGAGUUAUUUAUUCCUCACUUUUAAGCAUCUAUAGGCAUCCUUCGGGCUGACCUGCGAGGCCGCCUCUGCCCCCGCAAUCUCUGCAUGGCUGUGGGAGAGAACAGCCGCUCGUUCCCGGACCUAAAUAAAGAGCAGCUCUGUUGCAAACACCCCGACGCUCCUUCCUGAAAUCUGCUUCCAGCCCAAUGGAUCACACUGGCUAAUUACAUGAUGCGAGUGCACCGUGCUGGGAGCAUGGAAAAAUCCAGCCUGGCUUUUGGUGAGGGCUCGAAAUCCUUGGGUUCAACGAGGGCAAGUGUAGGGUCCUACACUUGGAGAGGAAUAUCCUCAUGCACCAGUCCAGGUUGGGGCUGAGCUGCUGGAGAGGAGCUCUGAGGAGAAGGACAUGGGGGUCCUGGUUGGCCAGUGGUUGACCAGCAGCUUACAAGUGGUUGACCAAUGGUUGGCCAACGGUUGACCAAAAGUUGGCCAACAGUUGACCAACGGUUGGCCCUGAGGAAGCAGUGUGCCCUGGCGGCCAAGAAGGCCAUGGUGCCCUGGGAUGGAUGGAGCACAGCUGGCAGG
rnacentral:lncRNA from 1 species